UUUUCUUUGUGUCAGUGCAGAGUCCAAGGCCUCCCUGCCUGCCCACAGUGGGAUGCUAAAAAGCACAAGGGGGGAAAGGGGGGUGGGAAAUGAGUGGGGAGAGUUUGUGUGUGUGUGUCCAUGAAGGGCUGAAUGGCCCUGCACAGAUCCCACAGCUCAGCCUCAAUUCCAUCUCUUCCCACACUGGUGUUUUGCUGGGAUAAACCACACAGGGCCCAAUGUCUGGCUCUGCCCACCCUGCCUGGGUCACAGCAGCUCCCCUCACCUGAUCUGAUCUGCAGAACUGCACUGCUGGGCCCUGAAACAAAGACAGCUCUUAGCAGCUCCCUUCUGAGGGAGGCUGGACUAAACUUGAUCAAGGCCAGGCUGGAUGGGGAGUGGAGAACCUGAUUUAGUGUGAGUGGCAUCCCUGCCCUUGGCAGGGCUGGGACAAGAUGAUCUUUAAGGUCUGUGCCAACCCAAACCAUUCUGUGACCCCAUUCCAUGAUUCUCUCACCAGGCCAUCACCUGCUGGGCUUAAACUCCAAGUUUUUGGUUCCUAAAAAUGCCUGAAGACAUCUCCAAGAUGCCAGGAGCCAUGGAUGGAAGGGCAUACACAGCCUGGGUGAAUGCAGCAGCACUCGUGCCAGGAGAGAGAGACAAAGAUUCAACAGCACUGCCUGAAGGCCCCAGCCCAGCUCAGGCCUCGUCACAAAAGGUGUUUGUGUGUGUUCAGAGCCACUUCUGGCAGCGAGGCUCCUCCAAACUCCUGCUCCAAAGCAGCAGGACAAACUUAGAACAUCCACAUGUGUGCAGGGAACAUUUUGCACAUUACUGAAAGGAAACAGGGUGACUCACAGAGCAAUUCUCCUGCAUGGGAAGAGCCUCCUGCACAAACUCUCUGGCCUUGAAGAAAAGCACCCAAAAUCAGAUCUCCUGAAUUGCCAGUUUUACAGCAAUGUCAAACAAAGUCAAUGUUUAGGAUUAGGAUGAUUGAGGAAAAAAAGAUAAAAUAAUAUAUAUUCAUCUGUUAGCAGAUUAAAGGCCUCAGCUCACAGUCCUCCCACCUUCCAAAAUGCAGAUACUGUUCUUAAAGUGAUAAUGUGAUUUUCAUAGUUGAAAGGGUCUGGUUGUGGAACCCUCAGAAAUCUGUUUAUUGCCUCCUUCUCCUCCUGCCCUGGAGCAGGAUUGGGAUUUUUGAAACUAUUGCUGCAGUUGAUGAGGAAUAAAAAUAAAAAUAAAGAAAAUGAGGAAAUAAAA
rnacentral:lncRNA from 1 species